rnacentral:rRNA from 1 species
CGAGCACGCGCGUGUGGCAUAUCAAUAAGCGGAGGAAAAGAAACUAACAAGGAUUCCCUUAGUAACGGCGAGUGAAGCGGGAAGAGCUCAAAUUUGAAAUCUUCAAGGUUCUACCUUGACGAGUUGUAGUUUAUAGAAGUGUUUUCUGUUAGUAGAGUGGCAAGAGUUCUUUGGAAUAGGACAUCAUAGAGGGUGAGAAUCCCGUAUUUGGUCAUUCUUUCUAGCUUUGUGAUACACUUUCAACGAGUCGGAUUGUUUGGGAAUGCAGUCCAAAAUGGGUGGUAAAUUUCAUCUAAAGCUAAAUAUUGGCGAGAGACCGAUAGCGAACAAGUACCGUGAGGGAAAGAUGAAAAGAACUUUGAAAAGAGAGUUAAACAGUACGUGAAAUUGUCAAAAGGGAAGCGUUUGACACCAGUGUUGUUUUUCCGAAAAUCAAUUACGAAUGUUUUAUUUUUGAGAAGUUAUGACUUCAUCGGCUUGCUUCUCUCUUUAUGAAACUUUCUUAAUGCACUUUUCGGUUAACAAGUCAACAUCAAUUUCUUUUGUUGUAAAAGGGUAUGAGGAAGGUGGCUUUCUUUUCGGAGAAAGUGUUUAUAGCCUUGUGCCUCUACAAUCGGAGAGAUUGAGGUCUGCAGCGUAGAUCCUUCGGGGUUAGAUACGUUUGUGCUAAGUUAUAGCUUUUCAUAGACAACUUGUUGACUAUGUUUAGUCUUGUAGCUUACUCGCUUAUGCUAUUUUACCUACGCUUAGGAUGUUGAUGUGAUACUGCGAGCA